rnacentral:rRNA from 1 species
CUACGGGCGGCAGCAGUGGGGAAUUUUGGACAAUGGGCGAAAGCCUGAUCCAGCCACGCCGCGUGCAGGAUGAAGGCCUUCGGGUUGUAAACUGCUUUUGUACGGAACGAAAAGACUCUUUCUAAUAAAGAGGGUCCAUGACGGUACCGUAAGAAUAAGCACCGGCUAACUACGUGCCAGCAGCCGCGGUAAUACGUAGGGUGCAAGCGUUAAUCGGAAUUACUGGGCGUAAAGCGUGCGCAGGCGGUUAUGUAAGACAGAUGUGAAAUCCCCGGGCUCAACCUGGGAACUGCAUUUGUGGCUGCAUAGCUAGAGUACGGCAGAGGGGGAUGGAAUUCCGCGUGUAGCAGUGAAAUGCGUAGAUAUGCGGAGGAACACCGAUGGCGAAGGCAAUCCCCUGGGCCUGUACUGACGCUCAUGCACGAAAGCGUGGGGAGCAAACAGGAUUAGAUACCCCGGUAGUC